rnacentral:rRNA from 1 species
CAGCCGCCGCGGUAAUACGAAGGGGGCUAGCGUUGUUCGGAAUUACUGGGCGUAAAGGGCGCGUAGGCGGCCAUUCAAGUUAGAUGUGAAAGCCCUGGGCUCAACCUAGGAAUUGCAUUUGAUACUGUUUGGCUUGAGUUCGGGAGAGGUGAGUGGAAUUCCCAGUGUAGAGGUAAAAUUCGUAGAUAUUGGGAAGAACACCAGUGGCGAAGGCGGCUCACUGGACCGACACUGACGCUGAGGCGCGAAAGCGUGGGGAGCAAACAGGAUUAGAUACCCCCGUAGUCCCUGUCUCUUAUAC